rnacentral:rRNA from 1 species
AAACCAACAGGGAUUGCCUCAGUAACGGCGAGUGAAGCGGCAAAAGCUCAAAUUUGAAAUCCCCCCGGGGAAUUGUAAUUUGAAGAUUGUGUUUUGGAAACGACCGUGUCUAUGUUCCUUGGAACAGGACGUCACAGAGGGUGAGAAUCCCGUGCGGCACGGCCACCGUUUCCUUAUAAAACACUCUCGACGAGUCGAGUUGUUUGGGAAUGCAGCUCAAAGUGGGUGGUAAAUUCCAUCUAAAGCUAAAUACAGGCGAGAGACCGAUAGCGAACAAGUACAGUGAUGGAAAGAUGAAAAGCACUUUGAAAAGAGAGUGAAACAGUACGUGAAAUUGUUGAAAGGGAAGGGCAUGCCGUCAGAUUGUCAGUGUGGGUAAGAAGCGGGGUACAAAGACUGUGGAACGUGGCCCUCGGGUGUUAUAGCCACAGUUCAUCCCCCGUCUCUUUCCGAGGCCUGCUUUGAGGACACCGACGUAAUGACGGUACGCCGCCCGUCUUGAAACACGGA